rnacentral:lncRNA from 1 species
CUUUUUUUUUUUUUUUUUUUUUUUUUUCCAGCAUCCUCUUCUACACUUACUGGAAAAUAAGACCAAACUACAAACCUCAUUCUGGAGGGCUCACCAGUUUUAACUUGCCUGGUUCAGAUGGUAAGUUUCUUGAGGGCACAGAAAAGGAAGUGUUUAGGUUGUACUGAGGGUCUUUCUGCAGAAAGGACCUCGCAUUUGUGCAUCAGUGUGGACACUGCAUGGGGCAGUGUGGGAUCAGGGAAAUGUGUACUGGACCAGGGGGCCAGCAUCUCCAGUCUAGCCUGGGCUCUGCUACAAAGUAAGUACUAUGCGGCCUAGGUCAACUCACUGUGCUUUCUGGCCUCAGCUUCUCCAACUGUAAAAUAAAGGCUGGAUGAGAAGAUCUUCCACAUCCCUUCCUGUAGUGCAGUGAAGACACCCUGUGGCUCCAUAACCCACACCUGUGCCUUUCUCUGAUGCUACCAUCUUCUCUCCAUGCCAGGCCUGGAUCCCUCUCCUACACAGGUCUAUUGCAGAGUCACAGGCUUACAUUAUCUUGGCUUAAGCCAGGAAGGCCCAUACUCCCCAAAUUAAACAACCUGCCUACUUUAAGACAUGCUUUAAGGUGAAACUGACUGACUCUGUUAUACUGCGAAAGGUCACACAUUUUAGAAAUUCAGAAACGAGAGGGCCUUCAGCCAGGUCUCAUCCAGCGGGCUCAUUUUGACUAAGCCAAUGUCCCACCCCUAAACGGCUGUCUGGGACGCCUCUCACAAGUCGUGGGGGUGGAGGUGGGAGUGUGGGACCCAGGUCUUUGGUCAGAGGGUUGGGAUCAUAAGCCAGUGAGGAGGUUGGAGCUUCCCUGUAUGGUGCUUCUUAGUCUUAGGUAGGCUGACGUCCAGUCUUCCCCUUACUUUCCCUGCUGGUCCCUUCCCUGGCUGUUCUUUCCUCCUUGGGCUUCCAGCAGAAAGCGAGCACCUUGUAUGCAGUAGUAUCCUAGCAUCCAGCACUGUGCCUCCUCAAUCAGAAAACGUGCCUAAUGAAUGUCAACUGAAAGAAGCAGCAAAGAAGAGCUCAGACCCAGCCCCGGUGCCUGAAGGGAGGCUGUGCACAUUGGUAGGUUUACGGCACUCAUUUACAACCUUUACGACAUCUCUGGACACUUGGUGAGUGCCCAGCGCUGUGCUCAGCUCCUCACUCACCUCCCUUCCUGUGGUCCCAAGACAACCCCAGGAUAUUUAGGUUGUGUUAUCCCCACGGGGAAACUGAGACCUGGACUGUAAAGCCGCUUGCUCACCUCACACAGCUAACGCAGGAUGUGCACCCAGGCAGCGACUCCAGAGACUUCUGUCCUACGAUAUAAAUGUUGAACUUAUCUGUGUCGGCAUCUUAGUUUCUUCAAGGAAGUCCUUAGAGUGAAAGCCAGUGAGGCCCUUUCCCAGUCAUGGCUGUCUCAAUAUUUCUCUGAGUUGUAUCCAAAUGACAGCAUACUGGGGCUGCUAAACUUUUCACUGUCUUCACUGGCCUAUCUGAAUGCAAAACACAAGAAAGGGAAGAUCGCAUUUGGUGUUCUGCAUAAUUUUCUCCUGAACUUCUAAACCCAUACCCAGGGGUAACCUUUCCAACAUGCCUGGCAGAUGGUCAUCCAGCCUCUAGUGAUAGCCAUGUCCCCCUGGCCAGCUCUCAUCCUCAGCAAGGCUGGCCUUCUAUGAGUGGAAACUCGCCUCUUUCUACUGUUCCCUCCUAAGUCCCAGGUGGCCCACCAGCUAAAUAUUAACCAAACACAAAAAGAAAAGAAAGCCAUUUACUGGGUCUUCCAGGUGAUUUUAAUUGCAGGUAAUAAACCAUUGUUAAAAAGAAGGUUUAUAAAAAGAAAGCACGAACUAGCUUAGGGUGUUUGCAGUGGAACAGUGAAAUGAUUUUGUAAAUGCCAUCUUCUCUAAUAAAUCUGAAUGCUGCUGGAGAGAUUAGGCCAUUAUCCAGCGCUGGCAUAAAUGAGAAAAUGAUAUGAUGGAUCACAUGCUUGAGGGGUUUUAGGAGUUAGCUGGAGAUGGGGCAGGAUGACGCUAGUUAGCAAUGGCAGUUGGCCAAUCAAAUCAUAUUGCCCAAAAUCUAGUUUAGGGCCAGUUCUGUUAUUCUGACUAUAACUGGUGCUUUCCAAUAUUCAUGCCAGGAAGUCACAGUAGAAAUUUUUGCCUAAAUUAAGAAGGGUUUUCUUAAAGCCAAAGACCUAGAUCAUGGAUCAAUGUGAUUGCAUCACAAUGAGGCAAAGCUGAGUUGGAGGAACAGAAGAAUCCCUUAAAAUCAGAUGACUGGAAAGCCUGGCACAGUAGCCAGGGUUUUCCAAGGUACUUAUCAAGCACCUAACUGCACAUGGCAUUGCUGAGAACUGCCCUGAACAGGGUUGAACACACAUGUCCAAAUGCAUUCAGUAGCAGCAGUUCUCAAGCUGUGGGCCACAGAGACUCUGGGUGGCCAGGGAGAAUGAUUUACACCAAGUCCAAAAUCCACAUCUCCAAUGUGCUGCCUGUGGACAGAAUGAAUCAUUUUUAUUGCAUGUAUGCACCAUUAUCUUUCAAAUAUAUGCAGAUGCAGAAGAACCAGCCACUUGAUAAUGCUACCGAAUUCAAUGCAUUCUUUUGCAUUUAUGAAUUUCCUCAGAGAUAGAAAAAAAAUACAACUACUAAGAUGUAGGGGCCAGAAUUCACUGAAAAUCUGUCUCUUUCUCUCCAUCAUUAAAAAGAAUGUAUGUAAAAACUGGGAACAAACCACUGUUCCAAUGGGAAUAUGGAUGGCAAAACAUUAAACUCAGAUAUAAACUGAUGAUAGCGUAUAACCAUCUUGGCUAAAGUUUAAACCACUGACAAGUGGCCCCCGGCUAGUGUUAGAAGUGUGUGCGUGCUCAUGAGGGAAGUGGUAGUUUUGCUGAUACUAGUUUGAGAUACAUUAUCUGUUUUCUCUGAAUAUAACCUACUUCCUCACUCUGCCAGCCUUUCUGAGUUAAGCUCUUCAGUCUUUAACCUGCCCUGUCUGUUCAUGUGGCAGACAACUGUACAAUUUCUCAUAUGAACCAUUUAUGGAUUCUGAUCAGAACCUUAAAUACAAGUCUAGGGUACAUGUGUGUUUCAGGGGCCUGAAAGCAUAGUCAACAGGACGUCAUGAGAAGUUUGGCUCCUCCUGGGAGCAAGACCUCUACACCAUACAGAAAUAUCAGGAGAAAGAACUAGGAUCUGGAAAAAAAAAUGUUCAAUCUUGCCUUUGGGGGACAGAAAUCGGCUGUAGAAAUAAAGAGAAUUUCAUUUAAAGGCAAGAGAAUUCAGAGUUCAAUAAUACAAUGUGCUAUUAAUAAUGAAGUGUACUAGCUAUUGAAUCUGAAGUCUGCUGAGCUUUGUACCAGGCACACUGUAUGCUAUUCCAUUAACCCAGGGAGUAUUCCUCUCCCCCUCGCAGGAAUAAACAUUGGGCAAUGUCUGAAGACUGCUUUGGCUGUCAUGUUAUAGGGGUGCCACCAGCAUCUCAUGGUGGAGACCAGAGAUGCUGCUAAAGAUUCUGUGGUACGCAGGUCAAUUCCCACAGCAAAGGAUUUUCUGACUCAGAAUGUCAACAGUGCUGAGGUUGAGGAACUCUGCAUUAACCCAUCCUAAUCACUUUAUAAAGGAGGCUUCAUCAGCCUCUUGUAUAGAGGUGGAAACUGAGAGCUGUGAAGUCCCACAAUGCCCAAGUCAUAUUGCCAGGAUCUGGAUCAGGUCUACUUCACUACCUUAAACCCAUAUACCUCCUAUAUUAUCUUGAAGAUGGAAAUGACCUCAUUUCACAGGUAAGGAAACAGGCUCAGAUACCAAGUGUCUUGCCCUAUAUCUCGAUGCAACCAGUGAUUCUGUGUCCCUUCACAGUUCUUUUAAGAUCUGGGAUGAUGACUACACACAAUCGACUUCACUUCAAACCAUGAAGCUGCCAUCAAAUGUCUCUUUCUGUUGCCCAUUAACCAUGACACCCCUCACAAUUAACUUCUUGUUUUUGCUCCUUUAACCCUGUAAUCCAGCAGUUUUAUUGCUCACAUCGAAUUCACUAGCUUACUCAUUCAACCAUUAUUAAGUCCCUCCUGUAUGCUAAGCCCUGGAAAGAUUCUGGAUAUAAAUGAAUCAGAAGGCAAAUGGAGGAGAACUGCAAGUUCGAGGGUUGGCAAACUCUAGCCCAAGGGGCACCUGUUUUUGUAAAUAAAGUUUUAUCAGAACAUAACCACACCCAUUCAUUUACCUAUUGUCUAUGGCUGCUUUCACUUUAUAAAGCAGAGCUGAGGAGUUAUGACAGAUACCCUAUGGUCCCCAAAUCUAAGAUACUUCUGAUCUGGCCCUCGACAGAAAAAGUCUGCCAGCUCCUGCAUGAGCUCCAUCAUUCAAGCUACAGGAACAAGCACUGAAGUGAACGCCACACUGAAUCGAGAAGUGCUUUCUUUCAUCUCCAUAUGCAACUACAAUAACUCUCAGCAGUGGGGCGAAUCCUAAGUGUUUAACGCUAAUACAAAUCUAAGAAUCAAAAGUACCCAAACAUUUUGAUCCUUAAAAAUACUUUAUGUUUGUCUAGAGCCUAUUAUAAAUAGGUCUUCAAAUGAGGUUCAAAUGCGUAUUAUUUCUCUUUUGCUGUCAGAGGUUUGGAAAGCCUUCAGUGAUUGCUGCUCGUCACACUGAAAUGAAAACAGAGAUUGACUCCCAGCCAUUGGACUAGCUGCCCAGGCAUCAGUUAACCACAGCAGGUUGUCUGCUGGACUACAGAGGGCUCCAGGCUGAUGCUCCCCUCCACUCCUUUCAGGUGCAUAGCAAAAGACCCCAUCCUGAACUUCCCUGAGUUUUCUGCCACAAUCUUGGCCUUUGGUCUGUGGAUGAAAUUCCACUGACCUGAGUACAAGGUCUAGACAUGAACUUGGAUCAACAAGGGUCCACCCACAGCAGUGACAGCCACAGCUGAGAACAUGCACCUUCACAACCAGCAGGUGGGGUAGAGAAUUUAAACCAACAUGUUUGGGUUGAAUAUUAACUCAAAGACUGACAAAAAGAGACUCUAAAGGUUUUAUAGAGUCUCUCUUAAGGGACGGCAAAAAGAAUGAAAUUAGGCAGAUUUAUUGUGAUGGCUACAUCUGGCCCCCAAUACUCAGAGAGGACACACAUCUACAUGCUAAGACCCCAGGUCUAAUACAGAUGUGCUUUCUGUAUUCAAAAAUCCUAAAGGAUAAUGUGUCAGGUGCAAAAAAAAAUUCUCCAUGUGAGUCAUUCUCAGAUUCGGUUAAUUAAGACAAACAGGAAGUUCCCUGCUUUUAGGGAGGCUAGAAGAGGAGAAACACUACACGUAAGCAUGAAUAAGACAGGUCAUUAAAGGAGAAGUCAAAUGAGAUGGUGAAGACUUUAGUGUAAAAAAUAAGAUUAAAUCUGUAAAACUGGAUUGUCUCUUCACCAUGUCCAUAUUAGACACGGGAGCUCAGAGUAUGACAGCGCAGUCUUGGGGUGAUGAUGUCACCAUCCAGACCUCACCAGACAAGGUGGCCCAUGCUCAAGAGGGAAUAGCCCAGGCAUGGUCAGCUCAACUCUCAUUCAAUCAUAAGUUCUGGGGUAGCCCUCUGCUGCCAUUGUGGUCACAAUGGGAGAAAGAGAGAAGAAUCUGGUUCAAUGACCAGCUCAACAAUCCUGAACACAUCAGCUGAAAUCACUGUGCCUCAGUUUCCUUAUUUGAGAAACUCAUUGCUGUGUCUACAUCAAUUCCAUCAUAUAGGCCAGCUGGUAGGCUCCACAGAGACAAUGCUCUGCUGAGCAAGUCUUUGUAUGCUGCAAAGACCUACAAAGAUCUGGUUGUGAUACACUGCAUGCUUCCCUAGUGCCUCCUUGGAUACAAAGGAAAGAAGAAUGGAUAAAGGCAGCAGGCCCCCAGGAAAAGCAUUCUAAGCACUGGCUUUAUGAACUAAAGAUGCUAGACCAAGGUUUUGCUUUAGAGGCAAGGUGAUAACACUGAAAGUGUUGAAGAGUGGGGUUUGAAUUAACCCAUGGAGAAACCAACCCAUGUGUUGACCAGCUGAGUUUUAACAAGAUUCUAUUCUAUUAGUCAAUGAUAAUGACCUACACUGUAAAACAGCUAACCAGGAAUCUCCAUCCUUCUUCACGAGACUUCCAUUAAUACUUAAACAUGUCUCUCUGCUGGGCUACCUGGUAUCAUGUCAAAUUGUGAACAGAGCAAUCACAGCACAUUUGCUAGCUAGGGGGCUGACAGUCUCCACCAAAUGGCAUGCAGGCCCUGCCUUUCUGUUAACUCCCAAAUCUAAACUAUUCUCAUUUUUUUCACUCCACAUAGUAAACCUUGUAGGUACAGGAAAAGCAAUCCACUUGAUGAAUGCAUUAAUUAAGAUAAUCGAUAUACAUAUAAUCAUGGGUCAGUUCUCCCCGGCCAUCAUUCAUCACGCUCUGUGGUACCACGACUACACUUUCCAGGGUCAGUGCCAAAUUUCUAAACUUCAUACCUUGCUAUUAUCAAGAAUUGAUGAAUGCAGAAUUUCAGAAGGCAGGGACUGGGGGAAAGGGUGACAUAAACCCCAGGGUAUUCCAAGUUGCACUUACUGAAUUGAAGACACCAUCCUCAAUGGUAAAAAAAAAAAUUCAAGUUAAUCAAGGAAAAUGAACAAAUUCAUUUGUUGCAGUUGACAAGAAGCCCCAGGCUUGGCUAGGAAGAUAAUACAAGAGGUGAGCUUAUAUUAAAAGAUGCAGAGCCGCGCCUGCAUUGAAAUUCCUAUCUUUUCUUGUUCUCUUUGCAAAGAAAAGACACAACUAUUAUUCGGGAUUUAAACCUGUAUCAUCCACAUCUUUCUUCUCCUUAAGAAAGGCUCUUUGGGGGAGAAGGUCUCAGCCAACAGCUAUUCUUUGCAGGAGCCAAUCCCAACCCAGCCAAACGCCGUACUUUUUAAUAAUUUCUCGUGGUCAGUUUAACCUUAGUAGGGAAAUUAAUGUAUUUUCCCAGCAUGCUGUUAUUACAUAUUGCCACUGUCAUGUACAUCUCCGAAGGCUUCUGUAUUUGUCACUUCAUCAUCUAUUUUCCCAUUACACCUGUCUAGACCUUUAUUAUAAAAUGUAAUUAUGUUUUCAUGUCAGUCACACCUAUUAGACUGCAAGCUCCAAGAUAACUUGGUCCAUAUCUUAUUAAAUCUGUGGCCCCUGAACCUACACACCCAAUCUCUCGAGCUAAAUGGAGACAGAGUGAAGAGAGGAGGACAGGAAGAGAAGAAAAAAGAAGAAGGGGAGUGAGAGGGUAGGUAUGUAAACACAAAGACAAAGCCAUCCUCCUGGCAUGUCUUUGCGCUGCCUGGCGCCCAUAUCUCUACCCUCUUGUAGUGAGGCAGAUAGGUUCCAGGGUCAGCUGAACAUGUGGUCCCAUGCAGCAGAGGACCACUGUCUAGUGUAGAAAAAGCAUCUAAACCUUUCUAAGCCUCAAUUUCUUCAUCUGUAGAAUGGACAUUAUCUAACUCACUAUGAUAGGAAAUAUAAGUAAGAUGAAUACGUGUCAUCAAUCACAUGGCACGGAGUCUGGGAAAGUCCAAAAAAAGUGUCCCCAGCUCCUCAUGCUCCUGGAACACACUUUUCCCUAAAAACAAGUCACUCCUCUGCUAAGAAGCUCUGGGGUCCUCUGUCCACCUUCCCAGAAAGUUCAGUCCUCUCUGCGCCUCUCUUGGGCCGAAGGCAAAGAGAAGAGAGAUUCUCACACUUGAGCAUGGCUCGGCCACUGAGCUGCCCUCUUACCUCUGGCCGGACACCAGUCCAUCCUGGCUACAGCCUCCCUGGCCAUGACAAAGCAUAUUU